rnacentral:rRNA from 1 species
GCAUAUCAAUAAGCGGAGGAAAAGAAACCAACAGGGAUUGCCUCAGUAACGGCGAGUGAAGCGGCAACAGCUCAAAUUUGAAAUCUGGCCCCAGGCCCGAAUUGUAAUUUGUAGAGGAUGCUUUUGGUGCGGUACCUUCCGAGUUCCCUGGAACGGGACGCCUUAGAGGGUGAGAGCCCCGUACGGUUGGAUGCCUAGCCUCUGUAAAGCUCCUUCGACGAGUCGAGUAGUUUGGGAAUGCUGCUCUAAAUGGGAGGUAAAUUUCUUCUAAAGCUAAAUACCGGCCAGAGACCGAUAGCGCACAAGUAGAGUGAUCGAAAGAUGAAAAGCACUUUGAAAAGAGGGUUAAAUAGUACGUGAAAUUGUUGAAAGGGAAGCGCUUAUGACCAGACUUUUGCCCUGCGGAUCAUCCGGUGUUCUCACCGGUGCACUUCGCUUGGUUUAGGCCAGCGUCGAUUUUGGUAGGGGGAUAAAGGCUGGGGAAACGUAGCUCUUCCGGGAGUGUUAUAGUCCCCUGCGUAAUACCCUUACCGGGAUCGAGGUUCGCGCUCUGCAAGGACGCUGGCAUAAUGGUCAUCAGUGACCCGUCUUGAAACACGGACCAAGGAGUCGAACAUUUGUGCGAGUGUUUGGGUGUUAAACCCUCACGCGUAAUGAAAGUGAACGGAGGUGAGAGCCCUCGGGUGCAUCAUCGACCGAUCCUGAUGUCUUCGGAUGGAUUUGAGUAAGAGCAUAACUGUUCGGACCCGAAAGAUGGUGAACUAUGCGUGGAUAGGGUGAAGCCAGAGGAAACAUCUGGUGGAGGCUCGCAGCGGUUCUGACGUGCAAAUCGAUCGUCAAAUCUGCGCAUGGGGGCGAAAGACUAAUCGAACCAUCUAGUAGCUGGGUUACCGCCGAAG